rnacentral:rRNA from 1 species
AUGAUCCAGAGAUUUCCGAAUGGGGGAACCCAACAUCUUUAAUAGGAUGUUACGAUUGUGUGAAUACAUAGCACAUUCGAGGUAGACGCAGAGAACUGAAACAUCUAAGUACCUGCAGGAAGAGAAAGAAAAUUCGAUUCCCUGAGUAGCGGCGAGCGAAACGGGAAAAGCCCAAACCAGCAAGCUUGCUUGUUGGGGUUGUAGGACUCCAAUAUGGUAGUUCUUUCAGAUAGUCGAAUGACUUGGAAAAGUCAGUCAAAGAGGGUAAAAACCCCGUAGACGAAAUGUGGAAGACACCUAGGAGGAUCCUGAGUACGGCGGAACACGAGAAAUUCCGUCGGAAUCCGGGAGGACCAUCUCCCAAGGCUAAAUACUCCCUAGUGACCGAUAGUGAACCAGUACCGUGAGGGAAAGGUGAAAAGCACCCCGGAAGGGGAGUGAAAUAGAACCUGAAACCGUGUGCCUACAACAAGUCAAAGCCCGUUAAUGGGUGAUGGCGUGCCUUUUGUAGAAUGAACCGGCGAGUUACGAUUGCAUGCGAGGUUAAGUUGAAGAGACGGAGCCGCAGCGAAAGCGAGUCUGAAUAGGGCGUUUGAGUAUGUAGUCGUAGACCCGAAACCAUGUGAUCUACCCAUGUCCAGGUUGAAGGUGCGGUAAAACGCACUGGAGGACCGAACCCACGUACGUUGAAAAGUGCGGGGAUGAGGUGUGGGUAGCGGAGAAAUUCCAAACGAACUUGGAGAUAGCUGGUUCUCUCCGAAAUAGCUUUAGGGCUAGCCUCGGAAUUGAGAAUGAUGGAGGUAGAGCACUGUUUGGACUAGGGGCCCAUCUCGGGUUACCGAAUUCAGAUAAACUCCGAAUGCCAUUCAUUCAUAUCCGGGAGUCAGACUGUGAGUGAUAAGAUCCAUAGUCGAAAGGGAAACAGCCCAGACCACCAGCUAAGGUCCCAAAAUAUAUGUUAAGUGGAAAAGGAUGUGGGGUUGCACAGACAACUAGGAUGUUGGCUUAGAAGCAGCCACCAUUUAAAGAGUGCGUAAUAGCUCACUAGUCGAGUGACCCUGCGCCGAAAAUGUACCGGGGCUAAACAUAUUACCGAAGCUGUGGAGUACACCUUUAGGUGUAUUGGUAGGAGAGCGUUCUAAGGGCGUUGAAGGCAGAUCGUGAGGACUGCUGGAGCGCUUAGAAGUGAGAAUGCCGGUAUGAGUAGCGAAAGACAGGUGAGAAUCCUGUCCACCGAAUGACUAAGGUUUCCUGGGGAAGGCUCGUCCGCCCAGGGUUAGUCGGGACCUAAGCCGAGGCCGACAGGCGUAGGCGAUGGAUAACAGGUUGAUAUUCCUGUACCCGUUGUUUUUGUUUGAGCAAUGGAGGGACGCAGGAGGCUAAGGAAUGCAGACGAUCGGAAAUGUCUGUCCAAGCAGUAAGUCUGAAGAGGAGUCAAAUGCUUCUUUUCUUA